GCCAUGCAUGUCUAAGCACAUGCCUUAAUACGGUGAAGCCGCGAAUAGCUUCCAUUUACAACAGCCACCGUUUACUAGAAUAUAGUUAUCUUACUUGGAUAACUUGUGGCAAUUCUAGAGCUAAUACAUGCAUAAAAGCUCUGCCCGCAAGGAACGAGCGCAUUUAUUAGAAUAAAAACCAAUCGGGUUUCGGCCCGUAAUUUGGUGAAUCUGAAUAACUUUGCCAAUCGCACAGUCCUAGUACUGGCGAUGUAUCUUUCAAGUGUCUGCCUUAUCAACUUUCGAUGGUAGGUUAUACGCCUACCAUGGUAGUAACGGGUAACGGAGAAUAAGGGUUCGACUCCGGAGAGGGAGCCUGAGAAACGGCUACCACAUCCAAGGAAGGCAGCAGGCGCGCAAAUUACCCACUUCCAGUACGGAGAGGUAGUGACGAAAAAUAACGAGACAGUCCUCUUCGAGGUCUGUCAUCGGAAUGGGUACAAUUUAAAUCCUUUAACGAGGAUCUAUUGGAGGGCAAGUCUGGUGCCAGCAGCCGCGGUAAUUCCAGCUCCAAUAGCGUAUAUUAAAGUUGUUGCGGUUAAAACGCUCGUAGUUGGAUCUGCGGCCUCGGAGAACGGUCCCCCGAAAGGGCGGUCACUGUCUCUCCUAGCCUAAAUUCGAGUCGUCUCUAGGUGCUCUUUACCGAGUGCUUAGAGUGACUAGAACGUUUACUUUGAAAAAAUUAGAGUGCUUAAAGCAGGCGCAAUAGCCUGAAUAAGGUGCAUGGAAUAAUGGAAUAGGACCUCGGUUUUAUUUUGUUGGUUUUCGAAACCCGAGGUAAUGAUUAAGAGGAACAGACGGGGGCAUUCGUAUUCCGGCGCUAGAGGUGAAAUUCUUGGACCGCCGGAAGACGG
rnacentral:rRNA from 1 species